rnacentral:rRNA from 1 species
UUUCUAAUGAAUUUAUAUUAGAUAAGCCCUGCCCAACGUAAUUAAGUGGCCGCGGUAUAAUAACCGUGCUAAGGUAGCAUAAUCAAUUGUUUAUUAAUUGUAAACUAGUAUGAAAGGGUAAACAAAAUAAAGACUGUCUCAAAUUGACUUAUAUAAAUUAUCUUUAUUAUGAAGAGAUAAUAAUUAUAAUAAAGGACAAGAAGACCCUAUAGAGCUUUACUAUAAAAUUAUUUAAUAAUAUAAAGUUUGGUUGGGGCGACCUAAGAUAAAUAUUAACAUCUUUAAAUCUAACAGAUACAUAAAUCACAAUUUAUGAUCCAAAAAUUGAUCAAUAAAACAAGUUACCUUAGGGAUAACAGGCUAAUUAUUUUUAAGAGCUCUUAUCUAAAAAAUAGUUUGGCACCUCGAUGUUGGCUUAGGAAAACUAAUACCCGCAAAAGGAUAUAAAGUUGGUUUGUUCAACCAAUAAUUUCCU